rnacentral:rRNA from 1 species
AUUGAACGCUGGCGGCAUGCCUUACACAUGCAAGUCGAACGGCAGCACGGGGGCAACCCUGGUGGCGAGUGGCGAACGGGUGAGUAAUGCAUCGGAACGUGCCCAGUAGUGGGGGAUAACCCGGCGAAAGCCGGGCUAAUACCGCAUACGACCUAUGGGUGAAAGCGGGGGACCGUAAGGCCUCGCGCUAUUGGAGCGGCCGAUGUCUGAUUAGCUAGUUGGCGGGGUAAAGGCCCACCAAGGCGACGAUCAGUAGCUGGUCUGAGAGGACGACCAGCCACACUGGGACUGAGACACGGGCCAGACUCCUACGGGAGGCAGCAGUGGGGAAUUUUGGACAAUGGGCGCAAGCCUGAUCCAGCCAUGCCGCGUGCGGGAAGAAGGCCUUCGGGUUGUAAACCGCUUUUGGCAGGAACGAAACGGCGCAAGCUAAUACCUUGCGCUAAUGACGGUACCUUGAUAAGAAGCACCGGCUAACUACGUGCCAGCCGCCGCAGUAAAAC